rnacentral:rRNA from 1 species
GGACCCGCACAAGCGGUGGAUUAUGUGGAUUAAUUCGAUGCAACGCGAAAAACCUUACCUACCCUUGACAUGUCAGAAAGUUUUCAGAAAUGAAAUCGUGCUCGAAAGAGAAUCUGAACACAGGUGCUGCAUGGCUGUCGUCAGCUCGUGUCGUGAGAUGUUGGGUUAAGUCCCGCAACGAGCGCAACCCUUGUGAUUAAUUGCCAUCAUUGAGUUGGGCACUUUAAUGAGACUGCCGGUGACAAACCGGAGGAAGGUGGGGAUGACGUCAAGUCCUCAUGGCCCUUAUGGGUAGGGCUUCACACGUAAUACAAUGGCGCGUACAAAGGGUAGCCAACCCGCGAGGGGGAGCUAAUCUCAGAAAGCGCGUCGUAGUCCGGAUCGGAGUCUGCAACUCGACUCCGUGAAGUCGGAAUCGCUAGUAAUCGCGGAUCAGCAUGUCGCGGUGAAUACGUUCCCGGGUCUU